GUACAUAGACCUUCAUUCUUAUUUAAAAGUGAUCAUUUUGCACAUUUUAUAAAUAAUAUUUUAUUUAUUAUAUUUGUCAAGAUCUCUUGGACUACUUUUUCCCACUUCUCUCUGAUUAAACAAUGCUUUUGAUACUGUGCUUACAAGGCUUCUCUAUAUAAGUGACUCUUUGCCAGUGACAUAACAAAGCGUUGUGAAUGCAUUGUGAAUUUGCUGUCGGGUCCAGUAUAUAUAAAAUAUGGGUGGAUGUUAAUGUCUCAAUGACUGUGCCACAACAACCAUUAAAGUGUGGUCACAUUUACCAGUGAGAGCAAAAUCCUGGCAUUUCAAAAUGAAUCCACGUCAUUGAGAAUGUCGCGUGAGGGCAAAAUAUUUAGGGAGAAGUGGAUUCGCGGCAUUGACCGACAGAAAGCUGCUUGGUUUGAAAGUGACUUCUUUGUGGGUUCUGCUUUGAGUCACUGAGGAAAGCCUGUUUCAUAUAGUAAGCACAUGUUGUCUUUAGUAAGAAUAAUUUGCAUUGCUUUGUGGAAAAAAAAAAAGACGCUGAACAACUUUAAAUAAAAUGGCCAACAGCAGGCACUCAUCACAGUUUGCCUUCGCUCAAAACAUUUGUAUAUUAGAGAAAUACAAUGCUGCUCAAUCGAAUUUAGUUAGCAAAUUUAGUGAUUACAAUGCAAAUAAUUAAAAAAAACACAAGAACCACAAUAACAGAGAACGUUUAUUGUCAAUUUGUUGUCAAAUGAAUUGUCAAAGAUGUGCAGAAACGUUUUAAAAACAUGGUGGAAGUGAAAAAUUCAGCAACCAGAGAAGGACCAACUCGUAAAUUAAAAAGGACCAUGUGAAUUAUCAUUAAAAUAUACGCUGACGAAUCUCCGGAGUUACCGACAGGAAGUUACCCGCAGCAACGGAAGAUGCAUUGACUCACACAGCCAUCACCUCAGCUCUGCUUGGACAGUCUUUCACUCAAGAUGAAGAUGUGCCAGUGACAACCCAGUAACAAACAACACAAAGUGAAGGCAUAUUGCAUCACACAACGAUCACCUCAGCUCCGCUUGGACAGUCUUGGCCCUAAAUUUAUUUCUCUGACUAUUGGGCACGGACCCCACUUUGAGAACCCCUGUUUAGUGGAUAGCUUGGUAAGAUUCUCCUCUCUGGCCAUUAAUAAGCCCGAACCAAACAGCACAAAGUGAAGGUAAAACUCAUCCUUACAAAACUAGUCAUAACUCAAAGUUAGUUAACUAGCAUAUAGUGGCAACUGAGAAUUUUUACAACAAACAAAAUAUUCCUAUUGCUCCCUAACAUUACUAACUUCUUUUUUUCUUUUCUUAAUCAAGACCAUUCGAGCAACAUCCAGGUGAUGCCUGUAAUAAGUGGCUCGGACACUGAGACACAAGAAGACCCUCCAAGCAAGAUUACCAUAGACCGUAUACUGGAAAAACAGUAUGAAGUAUUGACACUGGAAAAAGCAAAACUACAAUUAGAAAUACAGAAACUGGAAUUAGAGAAAACUAAGCUGAAGUUGGAGCUAAAGAACCUUGAACUUUAGAUCUCAUCGACCACCAUCCAAGAAUUAAUUAAUCAUUUAAUUUAAUCAAUCAUUUCUAAUUUUCCUGUUCACUUUACUAUCCAUACUAUACCAAUGUUUACUAUCCAAAUUAAUUUACUUAAAUAUGUAGUUUAUAUUUGAAGAAUUAUAUACUAUAUUUUCAGUUUUUACUAAUCUACUGCAUCACAUUUUCUUAAAUAAUGUUUUGAUAAAUAAAUCAUAAUUUGCAUCAAGAA